GAAGUGCAACUAAGCUGCAGAUAGGUCCAUUUCCAAGUCCUUGUAAAAAUAUUUGUAGAUUUUGUUUGGUUCUGUUUGCAUGAUUGUAGAAGGCUAUUUUGAUUUGAUGACAAACCUUUUCUCUUUUUGAUUAAAGGAGGAGAAGAAAUGAUUUCAGGUUUUCUUAAUAUUCUUUGGUUCUUUCUGUUCUGUCAUUGCAUAAUGUAGAAAGCAAAUGAAUGAUUUGAUCUUAAUGCGGAUACUCUGAAGACUCUGAAGAUGUUUAUUGUUACACUACCAUUGUGCAUUUAUGCUGAAUGGAAUAUUUUUGAAAAUUUUA
rnacentral:misc_RNA from 1 species